rnacentral:rRNA from 1 species
AACGAACGCUGGCGGCAUGCCUAACACAUGCAAGUCGAACGAUACCUUCGGGUCUAGUGGCGCACGGGUGCGUAACGCGUGGGAACCUGCCCUUAGGUUCGGAAUAACUCCCCGAAAGGGGUGCUAAUACCGGAUAAUGUCUUCGGACCAAAGAUUUAUCGCCUUUGGCUGGGCCCGCGUUGGUUUAGCUAGUUGGUAGGGUAAAAGCCUACCAAGGCGACGAUCCAUAGCUGGUCUGAGAGGAUGAUCAGCCACACUGGGACUGAGACACGGCCCAGACUCCUACGGGAGGCAGGAGUGGGGGAUAUUGCACAACGGGGGGAGGCAUGAUGCAGCAAGGCUGGGAGAGUGAUGAAGGCAGUAAAGUAGUAAAUCUCGUUUAUCCGGGAGGAUAAUGACGGUACCGGGAGAAUAAGCACCGGCUAACUCCGUG